GACGAACGCUGGCGGCGUGCCUAAUACAUGCAAGUCGAGCGAAGUUUUUCUGGUGCUUGCACUAGAAAAACUUAGCGGCGAACGGGUGAGUAACACGUAAAGAACCUGCCUCAUAGACUGGGACAACUAUUGGAAACGAUAGCUAAUACCGGAUAACAGUAUUUCUCGCAUGAGAGAUAUUUAAAAGUUGGUUAUGCUAACACUAUGAGAUGGCUUUGCGGUGCAUUAGCUAGUUGGUGGGGUAAAGGCCCACCAAGGCGACGAUGCAUAGCCGACCUGAGGGGGUGAUCGGCCACACUGGGACUGAGACACGGCCCAGACUCCUACGGGAGGCAGCAGUAGGGAAUCUUCCGCAAUGGGCGAAAGCCUGACGGAGCAACGCCGCGUGAGUGAAGAAGGAUUUCGGCUCGUAAAGCUCUGUUGUUAGGGAAGAAUGGAUAUGUAGUAACUAUACAUGUAAGAGACGGUACCUAACCAGAAAGCCACGGCUAACUACGUG
rnacentral:rRNA from 1 species